rnacentral:rRNA from 1 species
AUUGAACGCUGGCGGCAGGCCUAACACAUGCAAGUCGAGCGGAUGAAGAGAGCUUGCUCUCUGAUUCAGCGGCGGACGGGUGAGUAAUGCCUAGGAAUCUGCCUGGUAGUGGGGGACAACGUUUCGAAAGGAACGCUAAUACCGCAUACGUCCUACGGGAGAAAGCAGGGGACCUUCGGGCCUUGCGCUAUCAGAUGAGCCUAGGUCGGAUUAGCUAGUAGGUGAGGUAAAGGCUCACCUAGGCGACGAUCCGUAACUGGUCUGAGAGGAUGAUCAGUCACACUGGAACGGAGACACGGUCCAGAAUCCUACGGGAGGCAGCAGUGGGGAAUAUUGGACAAGGGGCGAAAGCCUGAUCCAGCCAUGCCGCGUGUGUGAAGAAGGUCUUCGGAUUGUAAAGCACUUUAAGUUGGGAGGAAGGGCAGUAAGUUAAUACCUUGCUGUUUUGACGUUACCAACAGAAUAAGCACCGGCUAACUUCGUGCCAGCCGCCGCAGUAAGAC